AUAAUAUAAUUAACUUUGGUUAAGUGGGUUGCCGUCUCCUCCCUUUAAUUUUAAAGUAGUAAAACUCCCCAAUAUUUAUAGAGAGUUUAUUUUCCUUACUUUUUAGUUUAUAUUGCGUAUUUCAAUAUAUUUAUGUUAAACUUUAAUUAUGUACUUCAACGCCAACUCAACAUCUAGCACCAGUAGAUCUCUAUGUCGACUCUAUCAUUCAAAAUUUCGAAAAUUUUGAACCGAAAAUUUUGAGAACUUGGGGUAGGAGCGAGGACCAAUAUCAAUAUCUGACUGACUGGGAUUCGCAGAAGCACUAUUUUAGGCGACAAUAAUGACGUGUAAAUUGAGCGUAGAAGAAAGCUUCUUGGGUCGGGCAAAUCACAUGUCCCCAAAAAAAGGGGAUGGGAAAGGAGAAACGCUUGCAUGCAAAUUGCAAAAGAUAAUAUUGCAUGAUCAUUUUGUUUCCUUGGAUCCCCACCCAGUUUUUGAGAAGCGCUUCUUUGUUGAUGACUUUUCCUUAGCUAUCUAUCUGCCCAGUGAUUUAUCAUUUAUUCAUUACACAAAGCUAUGCUCCUUUUCUUGCAUGUGCUUUACCUACAAUUGAAUUGAUACAAUCUCAUGCUAAGACUUGAUAAAGGAGAGAAGUCUAGAAGACAAAAAUAGCCGCUUUCCUUUCUUUCUUUUUGACUAAACAAACAACCCUUUGGACAAUACAUUGCCCCUAGCUUCUUCAUUACUUGAGUCAGUAGGUCAGGUGCCAGCCAUAAUUUGUUAUAGGGGUAAAACAUUUUGUACCAAUCAGGUCAGUGAUUCAGCUUCCUGCCAAAAAAAUUACUCCAGGCUUGCUAUUUAUGUCAAGGCAAUAAAUUCUUACCGCUGGCUUUUCUCUGCCUCAGAUUUAUCAGCUUCUCAUAUCAUUUUUCUAGGUUUAGUCUGAAUCAACAGAUUGAUCAAGCACUAGCCAGAGCUCAAACACAUAGAAAAAUGGUCUUGUAUAAAUUUAAAAAGUAGAGUUAAUUUUUAUGGAUUUGAUAGAGCAGUAAUAGGAUUAGUCGAUUAGACCCAUCAUUUUUUUUUCCUGAAAAUGGAUUAGACCCAUCAUAUGAUAGGUAAGAAUUUCUGUUUUCCUUUUUCUUAUGGCAAAUGCUAUGUUACAAUUAAUGUAACAUACACACUCAACAACAACCACAUAAAUUAUGUGUACUUAUUAUUUGUGUGGUUAUUGUUGAGUGUGUAUGUUACAUUAAUUAUAACAUAGGGGCUCCCUUUUCUUAUAUAUUUUUCUUAUAUUGUUCAUUCUUCCUCCCAAAAUAGUAUUAAGAUUCUCUCUUUAUUUAUUUAUUUUUUAUCAUUUCUUAUGCAGCACGUAAAUGAUACUAGAUUUCGUUCCAAUAUACAUUCUUAAAAACUCAAUUAGAAAAAUGGCUCUCACAAAAAAAAAUAUAUAUAUAUCUCAGUUGAGAAACACUAAUGUUAUUAAUGAGAAGUUUGUAUGUGUUACCAUAAAAUAUGAAUAACAUGCCUAUACAUAUACUAGUAGCCAACUUAAUCAUAAUCUUUCUCAAAUAAAAGAAAUAAUCUCAAAUCGUAAUUAGAUUAGAAUUACAAAUAUGACUCAAAUAAUCUUUAAUAAAACAAGAUAAAUUCUAAUAAAAUACUAAAUUUUAAAUUGACCCAAAUAUUAUAAUUCUUAAUAAAUUCUAAUUUAUUUUAUCUAAUAUGCUUCCUACAUCAAUUUCAUCUAUAAUAUAGUGAAAAAAUUGGCUUAAUUGUAAAUAAGAUGAAAAAAAAUAUAAAAUUCAAAUAUCUUAACCACUCAUUAAACAAAGAGAUAAUUAUUGUCACUCUAUAUCUCUUGAAAAGCAGGCAACAACAAUUUAGCAUGGUCUGCAUGGCAUUUUUGCAUGCAAAAUUUAUCACGACCCCGAGACAUCGUGUUCGUUAUAUGUUCAAGCAAAAUAUAUAGACCAGCUAAUGUGAAAACACAGUACUGCAAUUAGAUUUCCAAUUUGUAAUCUAAUGAUUAUACUCUUAAAAUUUUUAAUUCUUGAAAAGUCUGUUGUUUCUUUUUACUUGGGGGACACGCACCGUCUGAUCAAAAUUGUUCAGAUACGAACUUUGUCGGGACUUGUUUAACUGGGACUCCAAAAGAAUGUACUUUUAGUAUUACAUAAGUUAAAUUUUUAUUUUUAUUUUUUUUAAAAAAAUGUUUAUAAAAUAGUUGAUAUACACAUAAUUUAUAGGUAUAAUUAUUAAAAAAAGUAGAAAAUUAAAAAUGUAUCAAAAGACAAAGAGCACCACGUGUAGUUUCUUCAGCUGCACAGAGUUGGCAAUAUCUGUAAUGAAGAAUCGGUCAGUGCACGGUUGGAUUCGCACUGGAUCAUCAGUCACAAAAGAUUUCGAAACUCUCUUGCAGUUGCAGGCCUCCGUGUAUUUAGCUUUCCCCUCAAGAAAGAAAUCUGAGUAGGGCACUAGUGAAUAAAAAGGAUAUGUGGAUCCCGACAUAUGUUUCAAUACAAGGAUUUGGGUGCUUUCUGUACGCAUUCCAAUACUAUUAUUUACUUGAUGGCAAAGGGAUAAAUUAUUAUCUGAUAAUUACCAUGUACUUAAAUUUUGAACAAAUUGUUUUUUAAACUAAAAAACAAAAAUUCUUUGUUUUCUGUUUGUGUCUUGAUACUAUAUAUGUUGAAGUAUAAAUAACUUGAAUGAUUUUCUUGUGUAGAAAAUUCUUUAAAACAUACACAAACUAGUUUUUUUUACAAUGUGUUCAUUUUAUUCAAUUCACCUUUUAUUGUAAGGCUUGAGAAUAAUCUAAUUUGUUAUUAGCUGUCCGCUGUGAUCUACUACUCUAAAAUAAAGAUACUAAUGAUUAGCAGACGCGAUGGGAGGAUGAUUGUCAAUUUAAAACUAAACAUUUUUGUUUGACUUAGUCAAUGCAGCUACGCUCACUAAUUAUUGCUCUUUAUUCUCAUAUAAAAUAUGCUCAACAUACUAGGACAUAAAUGAUGGAUUUUGUUUUAUUUUCUUGUAUCCCAUAAUUGAAGCAUUGAAAAUGAAGGAGAAAAAAAAAAAAUGAAAGCAGCACUAGACCAGUAGACCCCAACAACAUCAUGAAUACAUAUAUAAUAUUUUAAAAUGAAAGUAUUCGUUAAAGUGAGGAUAUUCUUAUU
rnacentral:lncRNA from 1 species